UCCCAGGGGGCUGAGUGGUAAAGAAUCUGCCUGCAAUGCAGGAGACCCAGGUUCAAUCCCUGGAUCAGGAA
rnacentral:tRNA from 1 species